GUGCUCACUCUGGCAGCACACACGCUAACAUUGGACAGAGUAGAUUUGCAUGGCCCCUAUGCAAGGAUGACAGGCAAAUUCAUGAAGCUGUCCCUGUUUGU
rnacentral:snRNA from 1 species